rnacentral:tRNA from 1 species
UGGCUUAGAGGGCAAAGUGUCUGCCUGCAAUGCAGGAGACCUGGGUUCGAUCCCAG